AGCGAAUCCGCGAGGAGGAGCGAAUCACAAAACUCGGUCCCAGUUCAGAUUGCAGGCUGCAACUUGCCUGCAUGAAGUUGGAAUUGCUAGUAAUCGCGAAUCAGAAUGUCGCGGUGAAUACGUUCCCGGGCCUUGUACACACCGCCCGUCACACCAUGAGAGCCGAUAACACCCGAAGCCUGUGAGCUAACCGUAAGGGGGCAGCAGUCGAAGGUGGGGUUGGUGAUUGGGGUGAAGUCGUAACAAGGUAAC
rnacentral:rRNA from 1 species